rnacentral:rRNA from 1 species
GAUCUCAACUCAUACGUGACUACCCCCUGAAUUUAACCAUAUAAAAAACCCGGAGGAAAAAAAACUACCCAGG